AACACCCUGCUGGUGAUGGGAAAUGAUGGGACUGGAACAAAAAGCUUGAAACUAGGACUCUGUACACUUACCCUGUGGCCGUUGUACCAAGGAGGAGUAGUGACACAAGACACAACACUUCAGCUAAAGGUCAGUGUAGUAGCGCACAGGAAGUACACUGAGCUUCGAUGGUAUCACAGUGUGAAGGGAAAUGGAUGGUGCUAACCCAAACACAAGGGAAGUGGUCUUUCCACUCUGAGUCUACAGAUAUUUGAAUGGUCCAAGUCUACUGCGUGGCCUUGUGGAUUCUGAGACAUCAGAGGCAUUGGGGUACAGAAGAAGCCCA
ensembl:lncRNA